UCUCGAUGGGAUACAAUUUGCGAGGGACGAAUAUUUUGUGGUGCACUCGAAUGGAAAAAUUAGGAAUCAACAAUAGUCUUUGGUGUUCGUUUAAUCGUUGUUGGAUUUUUUGGCCUACAGAUUGUUCGAUCACUGUAUCAACUAAUUUAACUUGGGAGUUUGGAACUUAGGACUGUUGCGAAUGUGACCUACUGUAUAGGCUAAUGUAAUUUCUAUUGAAAGCUAUUUCUUCAAAUUAUGAUUAUGAGGGUAGUUUAUGUUAGUUUCUGUGUUACUAGUUGAUAGAGAGAAUUUAGCCGUGAUUUUGACUGUGUCGACAGAGACUUUCAUCUUUUCAUGUAUAGAGCUUUAAGCACCGAUUGGUGGAUGAGUAAAAUUAAUGGUUUUUAUCAUACAAAUUUCAGUUUCAUUUUUACAAGUAUUAGCUAACGUAUGUUGCUGGUUUGUAGGUUUAUCUGUCUUUAUGUUGUGCUCUUAUCACUUUGGCUAUUGGAGCUUAUCUUCACAUCCUCUGGAAUAUUGGAGGUUUCCUCAUGACCACAGGUUCUAUGGGAAGCUUGGUUUGGCUACUCUCGACCCCUCCAUACGAAGAGGUAGUCAUUGUUGCAUUUUUCCUUAUUUGUUUUCCUUUAGUCUUUUUUUGGAUCCAUCUUUUGAUCAAUUGAAGUUGCUUUCUUGCCAUUUCCAUUUUUCUUUUUUUUGUUUUUCCUGUUUGUUGGUUAAAAAUAGAUACACUUAUGCGAUUGUUUAGCGGUGAUGAUAUUAUACAUCUCUUUAUUCGUGUCUGGCUGUUAAAAAUAUUCUGAUGGUUCCUGGAUUAUGGCCAAGUACACUGACUUCAUGGCGAAUCUGACCAGCAUCAAUGGAAGUUAGAUGGAUGUGGUUCAAAUGACCUUAAUUCGGGCUUCUUUUCAUUUCGGAUUAACAAGUAAAAUUUUAGGCAAUCGAAGUCGCUGAUAGAGGAUCAUGGCAAAAAAAAUGGCAAUCAGUUCCCAGAAGAAGGAUUAUAACGAGAGCCCUUCGGACUACAAUGGCAAGUCUUUUGCCCAUGUAGUGCCAACCUCAACUUGCAGCUGGUCACUAAUGCCUUGUUAUCGCUAAAGAUUAUGUUUAAGAAGGAGUAUUUCUUCACAAGACCAGCUGGCAAUGUUUGUCUCCAAUUCCUUGAUUCAUCCAACCUUAUUUGAGGCAAAUAGACCAGGCCCACUGAGUGUGGUAAUGUUUGGAAAGGUCUAAUUUUGAUGUUAUAAUUUGCUGGAAACUUGGGACUAUUGAUCAGAUCAAGGAUGUGUGUUAGGGUUGGUAGGAAUGUGUAUCGGGUAAAUCGACUCUGAUGAUGAGGACCAAUUUCUGCGUCUUUUCUUCUUAUUUUUUAAGGUAGAUAGAGAGGAGAGUUAAAGCUUUUUAUAGUUUAUUCAGUCCACAUGAACAUGGAAGUUUAAUGAUGUUUUUAGGUUUAGGGCCAAAUAGGUAACAAAUUCAAAUGGCUGAUUUUAUCUACCAAUUUGAUCUGUUGUCUUUGUCGGUUAAAAAUAGAUACAACUUUAUG